CGGCGGCGGCGGACGGGGCCGGGCAGAGGCUGCCCUCUCGGCUGGGGAAAUCCUUUCCGGAUCCUGUGCACUUAGACGGCGGCAAGAGAGCCUGCACACCCCCCGGGGACAGAGUUUGCCU
rnacentral:lncRNA from 1 species